CGAGGUUGUAGUUUAAUAAAAAUAUGAGCAUUGGAAGCUUAAGAUUAGGUAAUAACCUAUACCUUGA
rnacentral:tRNA from 1 species